rnacentral:rRNA from 1 species
AUUGAACGCUGGCGGCAGGCUUAACACAUGCAAGUCGAGCGCCCCGCAAGGGGAGCGGCAGACGGGUGAGUAACGCGUGGGAAUCUACCCAUCUCUACGGAAUAACGCAUGGAAACGUGUGCUAAUACCGUAUACGUCCUUCGGGAGAAAGAUUUAUCGGAGAUGGAUGAGCCCGCGUUGGGUUAGCUAGUUGGUGGGGUAAAGGCCUACCAAGGCGACGAUCCAUAGCUGGUCUGAGAGGAUGAUCAGCCACACUGGGACUGAGACACGGCCCAGACUCCUACGGGAGGCAGCAGUGGGGAAUAUUGGACAAUGGGCGCAAGCCUGAUCCAGCCAUGCCGCGUGAGUGAUGAAGGCCCUAGGGUUGUAAAGCUCUUUCACCGGUGAAGAUAAUGACGGUAACCGGAGAAGAAGCCCCGGCUAACUUCGUGCCAGCCGCCGCCGUAAGAC